rfam:Callithrix jacchus chromosome X, whole genome shotgun sequence
GACUGGUCUGAAGGUAGUGAGUUACCUCAACUGACUGCUCACAGUUGGUUACAGAUCCAACUUCUUGUUCUACUCUUUCCCCUCUUCUCACUAGUUAAAUGGACUUGACUAGU